UACGGGAGGCAGCAGUGGGGAAUAUUGCACAAUGGGCGCAAGCCUGAUGCAGCCAUGCCGCGUGUAUGAAGAAGGCCUUCGGGUUGUAAAGUACUUUCAGUCGUGAGGAAGGUGUUAAGGUUAAUAACCUUAGCAAUUGACGCUAGCGACAGAAGAAGCACCGGCUAACUCCGUGCCAGCAGCCGCGGUAAUACGGAGGGUGCGAGCGUUAAUCGGAAUUACUGGGCGUAAAGGGCACGCAGGCGGUUAAUUAAGUUGGAUGUGAAAUCCCCGGGCUUAACCUGGGAAUGGCAUUCAAGACUGGUUAGCUAGAGUCUUGUAGAGGGGGUAGAAUUCCAUGUGUAGCGGUGAAAUGCGUAGAGAUGUGGAGGAAUACCGGGUGGCGAAGGCGGCCCCUGGGACAAAGACUGACGCUCAUGUGCGAAAGCGUGGGGAGCAAACAGGGAUUAGAUACC
rnacentral:rRNA from 1 species